rnacentral:rRNA from 1 species
UACGGAGGGGGCGAGCGUUAUUCGGAAUUACUGGGCGUAAAGCGUGCGCAGGCGGUUCGUUGUGUCCGAUGUGAAAGCCCCGGGCUUAACCUGGGAAUGGCAUUGGAAACUGGCGAGCUUGAGUGCGGCAGAGGGGGGUGGAAGUUCCGCGUGUAGCAGUGAAAUGCGUAGAGAUGCGGAGGAACACCGAUGGCGAAGGCAGCCCCCUGGGUCGACACUGACGCUCAGGCACGAAAGCGUGGGGAGCAAACGGG